GACGAACGCUGGCGGCGUGCUUAACACAUGCAAGUCGAACGGAAAGGCCCUGCUUUUGUGGGGUGCUCGAGUGGCGAACGGGUGAGUAACACGUGAGUAACCUGCCCUUGACUUUGGGAUAACUUCAGGAAACUGGGGCUAAUACCGGAUAGGAGCUCCUGCUGCAUGGUGGGGGUUGGAAAGUUUCGGCGGUUGGGGAUGGACUCGCGGCUUAUCAGCUUGUUGGUGGGGUAGUGGCUUACCAAGGCUUUGACGGGUAGCCGGCCUGAGAGGGUGACCGGCCACAUUGGGACUGAGAUACGGCCCAGACUCCUACGGGAGGCAGCAGUGGGGAAUAUUGCACAAUGGGCGGAAGCCUGAUGCAGCAACGCCGCGUGCGGGAUGACGGCCUUCGGGUUGUAAACCGCUUUCGCCUGUGACGAAGCGUGAGUGACGGUAAUGGGUAAAGAAGCACCGGCUAACUACGUGCCAGCAGCCGCGGUGAUACGUAGGGUGCGAGCGUUGUCCGGAUUUAUUGGGCGUAAAGGGCUCGUAGGUGGUUGAUCGCGUCGGAAGUGUAAUCUUGGGGCUUAACCCUGAGCGUGCUUUCGAUACGGGUUGACUUGAGGAAGGUAGGGGAGAAUGGAAUUCCUGGUGGAGCGGUGGAAUGCGCAGAUAUCAGGAGGAACACCAGUGGCGAAGGCGGUUCUCUGGGCCUUUCCUGACGCUGAGGAGCGAAAGCGUGGGGAGCGAACAGGCUUAGAUACCCUGGUAGUCCACGCUGUAAACGGUGGGUACUAGGUGUGGGGUCCAUUCCACGGGUUCCGUGCCGUAGCUAACGCUUUAAGUACCCCGCCUGGGGAGUACGGCCGCAAGGCUAAAACUCAAAGGAAUUGACGGGGCCCCGCACAAGCGGCGGAGCAUGCGGAUUAAUUCGAUGCAACGCGUAGAACCUUACCUGGGUUUGACAUGGAUCGGGAGCGCUCAGAGAUGGGUGUGCCUCUUUUGGGGUCGGUUCACAGGUGGUGCAUGGCUGUCGUCAGCUCGUGUCGUGAGAUGUUGGGUUAAGUCCCGCAACGAGCGCAACCCUUGUUCACUGUUGCCAGCACGUUAUGGUGGGGACUCAGUGGAGACCGCCGGGGUCAACUCGGAGGAAGGUGGGGAUGACGUCAAGUCAUCAUGCCCCUUAUGUCCAGGGCUUCACGCAUGCUAAAAUGGCUGGUACAGAGAGUGGCGAGCCUGUGAGGGUGAGCGAAUCUCGGAAAGCCGGUCUCAGUUCGGAUUGGGGUCUGCAACUCGACCUCAUGAAGUCGGAGUCGCUAGUAAUCGCAGAUCAGCAACGCUGCGGUGAAUACGUUCCCGGG
rnacentral:rRNA from 1 species